UACGGAGGGGCUAGCGUUGUUCGGAAUUACUGGGCGUAAAGCGCACGUAGGCGGCUUUGUAAGUUAGAGGUGAAAGCCCGGAGCUCAACUCCGGAAUUGCCUUUAAGACUGCAUCGCUAGAAUUGUGGAGAGGUAAGUGGAAUUCCGAGUGUAGAGGUGAAAUUCGUAGAUAUUCGGAAGAACACCAGUGGCGAAGGCGGCUCGCUGGACAAGUAUUGACGCUGAGGUGGCGAAAGCGUGGGAGCAAACAGG
rnacentral:rRNA from 1 species